CAGAGGAGGAAGAAGUGCUAAACUUGGAGAAGAUAAAUAAAUAUAUAAAGAUAUUUUGAUAGAUAGAUUGAUAGAUAUACUUUAUUGAUCCCAAAUUGGGAAAUUCUCUUGUUAUAGCAGCAAAAAGAAAAUAUAAAAUUAAAUAUAAUAAGUAGUACAAUGCAGACUAAAAAUAAUAAAAAUACUAAGUAUAUACAAUAAAUAUAGGCUAAAUAUACUAAACAUCCUAAGAGAUAAAAGUGAGAUAUGAAGAAUGUGGGCUAUUGAAAUUAGUAAAAAAUAUGAAAUGAGUAAUAAAUAUGAAAUGAGAAAUAUUACAGAUGGGAUGAUAGAUAUACAAUUUAAGGUGCUCUGUAAUAUGAUGUGAUAGGAGUUUUUAAGAAUGGACUAUACAGCAGACAGGCGUGAGUCCCUGUCUGACAUAUGUGAGUUAUUUAACAGUGCAAUAACUUGUGGCAGGACAGAUUUCCUGUAUCAGCGGAGCUGCAACAGUCUGUUGGUGAAGGAAUACAGUGUGCAGACAUAAAACCGCAGAGAUAGUUAAUGAUUCAUGGUUUACCUUAACCUUUUUGUGUGACUCCGGUGCAAAGAAAACAGUUCUUAGACAUAAACUAUCACAGAUUAGGUUUUCCAAACUAAAGAUUUUUGUCAAAUCAACACACAGAGAGAGCUUGAGAGGUAGUAAUAGCGAGUCAUGGGCCUUGCCAUGUCUCGACAGGAGGGAGGAGUGUAGUAGUUAACCCUAUUGAUUCAUAAAUUAUUUUAAAAAAAAAUAAUAAUAAUAAUAAAUAAAAAAUAAAUAAUUUACUAUUUGAUUUGUUCAGUUUGUUUAAGACAUAAUGCUCAAGACAGUAUAAAACCAAAAAGAGGCAAAUUUCCACCAACCAAUGCAUUAUUUGAAGCCAUGCACAUGGACUUCAUAGAAUUAAAUCAGUGUGAGAGAAAGAAAUAUUGUUCAGUGUUAAUAGAUCCUUUCACUAAAUGGAUAGAAUUAUUUCCUGUUACCCAUCCAGAUGCAUUAACAGUAGCAAAAAUCCUGCGUAGAGAAAUAAUUUCUUGAUUUGGCAUUCCAAAACGAAUCUACAGUGACAAUGGAACUCAUUUUGUCAAUGAAAUAAAUAAAUAAAUAAAUAAAUAAUAAUAACUAGAAAAUGCAAGUUCUGAAGAAAUUGCGAGAUGGAUUGCUCCAGCUAAAAUUGUAAUUGCUAAGCUGCUAUUGUAAAUGGUUUAAGUUCAAAAAUUAUGCGAAAGAUAUGAGAUUUGAAGAUUCAGAAAGGGUUGAAUCAGUUUAAAUGAGUUGAAAUUAGUUUGAAAAAAUUGAAUACUGAAUGAAGAAUGAAAUGAUUUAAAACUGAAAAAAUUAAAAUGAUCAUAAUCUGAAUGUAUAGAGGAGUUGAAGGCUUUUAAAGUUGUGUAAAGAAAAUGUGAGAAAAGGGCCAAUUUAAAAAUUCCGUAAUGUAUUUCUAAUAAGAAAAAUUGGUUCGAAAACCUGGAAUAUCCCGGAAAGGAAGAAUGUUAGGAAAAUUUUGAAUAUAAGCUGGAAUCUCCUGAAGUUUGAAUGGUUUUUAAUACGUUGAAGUAAGUGGAAGGAAUUAAAAAAAAAAUAAAGGUACUGCUAAUGACACCCACAGCAGUAAAAAUAGCACAAAGAAGUAGUUGGAUACAUCUUUCCCAUUGCAAAAAACCUAUAUGGGUUUUAGUUAGGAAAGUCUGACUUCAAAGGGGGGCGUCCUUAUAGUGGGCGUUCGUCUCAAUGUCAGUGAAGAUUAGAUGGUGUUGAAUUCCUUAGGAGCUUAGGAAAAUGGGAAAGUUAAGUAUCUUACUUCUGCUAAACCUGAAACUGUUAAUUUACCUACUGAAACAUUAUUUACAACUUCAGAUGAACUUAAGGAAGGAAAGAGAAGUGACAACAACGAUAGUCCUCACAUCCUGUGUGACUACCAAUCAAAAAUCACAUUCAGCUGUUCUGAAGGCGACCAUGUGCAGAGAGCAAACCUGAGAGACAGUGAGCAGGGGUAUGAAUCACCCAGACGGACACCACAGUUGCUUCAUGUAGUGAAGACACUGAGAACUUUACCAUAGCUUAACUGCUACUAGGCGUUUCUGUUAUUUUGUUUACAAUGGGAUUUUGUGCAUGCUUGUUUUGUCAAUAAACACUUAUACUUAUGUUUAUUAAAGGUACAUCACAAAAUAAAAAAAAAAUUAGUUAACAAAAAUGAUGGAAGAAUAAUAUUAAUAAAGAUAUGAAUAACAUAUAGUGGAAUGCUUCGCAAUCCCUCUCAAUAAAUAAUAAUUAAAAAAAAAAACUAAUUUGAAGUGAACAUGUGGUACAGAUAUGCAAAAAUAUCUAGUAAAAAUGAAGAAUCAGUCUAACUUCUAUGUCUGUACUAGGAAUUCCCUAACCAUAACAAAAGUGUAUGUGUUUUCUGUAGCUGUACCUGAAUGACAGCAGACUGAUAAUAGGGCCUUAGUAACUUUAAUCCUAACUGUUAUAACUUUCUAGACCAGUGUGACAAAUUUAACCUCUGCAGUUAGUCUUAUUCCUUUGUUGAGCCACUCCAGAGUAAAAGAAAUUAGCAAACAGAGUCAGACCCGACUUAUAUAGAUAGUUCCUUGUGAGGUACCAGAUGAGUAUAAACUAGUAAAUCAAGUUGCUGCAGGCUUUGAGUCUCUCGUCUGUCCUUGGUGUACAAUGAACAAAAAUAUAGAUCAAAUCAGAAUCAACUACAUCCAUUUCAACGUUCAAAAGCUAGGUAAUUGGACUGAGGCUGGUUUUCAGGCCGUUCACUCGCAGUUAUCUGUAACAUCCCUGAUGGCUUUCCAAAACCGUAUAGCCCUUGACACGCUGCUUGCAGAAAAAGGAGGUGUAUGUGCCAUGUUUGGAGAAACGUGUCGCACGUUCAUUCCUGAUAACACUGCUGCUGAUGGCAGCCUCACUCGAGCCAUAGAGGGCCUAAAAACGCUUCACAGCAAAAUGAAAGACCACUCAGGAAUAGAUAACUCCUCUUGGGACAAUUGGAUGAAUGUAUUUGGGAAAUACAAAAAAUCUUGUAGAUUCAGUCCUAAUCUCUGUUGCUGUUUUUGCAGCUAAUUUGACCUUGUGUGGAUGUUGUUGUAUUUCUGUAUUUGUUCUCUUCUUAACCGUCUUAUCACCGCAGUGUUGUCUCCUGUGGAGCAGCAGAUGCAGGAAUUGUACCCGCUGCUCCAUCAGCAGGACGAGGAGGACAGAUUUGAUGACACUCAAUGGCCUGACCUGUGCCCUAAUCCAGAUGAUGAGUAUAAUUCUGACUAAAGCAACGUCUUGUACCUCCGUGUGUAAAUUCUUUGUAGUCAUACACAUGAACUCGCAGCUGAAAAUCGAGAGAAGUGGCUGAACUAGAGGGAUUAUGAGAAUUUGAGCAAAGUAAUGAUAAACAGGAGGGAAAUGUUAGAAUAAUGUGCAUAAAUGUAUAUAGAAGUUAUCAUUAUUCCUCAUAUUCUUAUGUAAGAGUUGACUACAAGUAUAAAAACUGUUUUGACCUCUUUUUAUACAUUAUAUAAGAGUGUUUCCUAACUUCUCUCUCCAAUAGAUUUACUACACAGCAGAACAAUGUUCUUUCAGUUUUCUGUGACUGGGUCUUUCCUAUCAGCAGGUGGGGGUGUGUGAGUGAUGGAUCCUCCGCAAUAAAUCGUGGGGAGUUUUUGAGGAGGUGCCGCUGUUAUCAGAAGGAGCUCAUUAGAUGCCGCCUUGACCUUCACAUAUUCACAAGUGUUCAUUAUUAUGCUUUAUGAGAAUGUUUACUUUGCUGCACCAUCUACCACCCCUUUUAGAAACAUUAUGUAACCAGGGACAAGACUAAAUAAAAGAGACUGGGCGGAAAUACCUUUAGAGUGGUUUCGACAUGGUACCUGAAGCUAUCUCGGUCCAUUCUCCUCGAGUAUAUACCAUUGUCUUUCUCUUCUUUAUAUGUUAUCAGGUAAAUGUUGCAGGUUUUAGACCUAACAC